rnacentral:tRNA from 1 species
GUAGAUAUAGUUUAACUAAAACAUUAGGUUGUGGGCCUACAAAUAAG